rnacentral:tRNA from 2 species
GGGCGGUUAGCUCAGCGGGAGAGCGCUUGCUUCACACGCAAGAGGUCGCAGGUUCAAUCCCUGCACCGCCCACCA